GGAGUUAGCCGGUGCUUCUUCUGUGAGUGAUGUCCUUCCUGCCGGUUAUUGACCCGCAGGCCUUCUUCCUCACUGAAAGUGCUUUACAACCCGAAGGCCUUCUUCACACACGCGGCAUGGCUGGAUCAGGGUUGCCCCCAUUGUCCAAUAUUCCCCACUGCUGCCUCCCGUAGGAGUCUGGGCCGUGUCUCAGUCCCAGUGUGGCUGAUCAUCCUCUCAGACCAGCUACGGAUCGUCGCCUUGGUGAGCCGUUACCUCACCAACCAGCUAAUCCGACAUAGGCUCAUCCGAUAGCGCGAGGCCCGAAGGUCCCCCGCUUUCCCCCGUAGGGCGUAUGCGGUAUUAGCCUGGGUUUCCCCAGGUUAUCCCCCACUACCGGGCAGAUUCCUAUGCAUUACUCACCCGUCCGCCGCUCGCCACCAGGGAGCAAGCUCCCCGUGCUGCCGCUCGACUUGCAUGUGUUAGGCCUGCCGCCAGCGUUCAAUCUGAGCAUAAUACAACUACUGA
rnacentral:rRNA from 1 species